CAAUAACAGAAGCUCGUGAUCGGGCAGCGAGAUACUAUAAGCGUCUUACAGUGUGCGCACACAGCAGAGACGCUUCAAGCUGUUAACUUAGGAGCUGCACGUUAGCAGCUACCACCACACCAGUUACACCUGCGUGCUUGUGCGCGCGCUGCUGGUGAUGCAAUGCAAAGCCAAACCACCACCUACAGGCUCCAGCACAACAGCGAGGAUGGAUUAGCCCACAGCACGGAGCUCCUCAGCUGGAUGCUAGCUUCGUAGCCCCGGCGAGGCUCAAACUGCGGCAUGAACAUCACAGACACGUAGCCAUCACUAACGCGAGCCCCGCGGCUAAAUACUCAAUGAGGCGUUUGAUGAACUUCCCUCAGCUGCGGUGUGCAAAGCCUUGAUCUCAGCGAACAAUAGUCGUAUUUUGGACAUGACUGGACGUGGAAUAAAGACACUUCCCGCACUACGUCAAAUGUGUCAAUCAAGUUUGUGCUGUGAUAAUAUUUCCACUGAGAUCAGUAUCAAACCUUACCUGGAUGUCUGGCUCCAGAAAACAAAGGAUGCAGCCGUUUAUCCCGUUACAUCAGUAUGUCUACUCGGCCUGAGAGCAUCCUGUUCCCCGACGGCAGCAUUAUCACGCUACACAACACCAUACUUGCUUCCGGGAACACAAGGAAACCUUCCUUUUCACCGAAGGACAGAAGGGAACAAAUUUGCUAAAAGGAGCAGCAGAAACCUUCGAACGGCUGCUGAGAAAAGAAGCUGUUUAGGCUGCACUUGGCUUCUGUUGCAGCUUCCUGCCUUCCGUCCACUGAACCCACCAGCGCCACCCCCAAACUGCUUUCAAAGCCGUUCAGAGGUGUAAAGAGCAACCCCUCCCCACGGCGUUUUCCAAACCCUUGCCCUGCCCCUUUAACCCAGGCGUCGUCCCAUCCUCCAGUGUCCUUCCGGACGGUGGCAGCAGGGUGGCACCUGUCUUGACCUGUCUAGACACCAGCACCACUGCUUAGCUCUCAGUUCCCUAAGGGGAUGAGGAUGAGGGUGGUGAGUGUGAACACAGCCCCAGGGAACUAGCACCUUUUAGGUUGGUUGCUCUAGAAGCAAAGCUGUGUCAUUGCAGAUGUACCAAUGCAUUUCUCACAUUGUUUGACAUUUUAGCUAAGCUUUAUAGAUAAAGUAGUCAGCAGCUUAAAUAAAUAAAGAAGUAAAGUGGGGCCA
rnacentral:lncRNA from 1 species